AAACGGAGCGGUAUCGUUUAACCCUUGAAGCCACUGCCCGUUCUGAGAGUUUCUCUCAACCCGAAUAACUAAAGCCAACGUGAACUUUUGCGGACCCCGUGGUCCGC
rnacentral:other from 1 species